GUAGCACUCCACUGUCGGGAGUUAGCUCACAAAGCGUAUGGGCAUAAGUACCCCUUAGACCUGAGACUGUCACGGUGACUUGCAAGCAACUCACUGUACUUAGGCACUGGAUGACCUGAAUUUCUAAUUCAGGGAUCGGAAAGAUGCUGGGUGCAGUCAAGUACUCGCGAAGUCUGUGUACGAGUCAAGAUGGGAUUGACCGCUCCAGAUUAUAGGAGUUGAUGUCUCGCUGUAUUUCAAUUCAGUAAAACCUUGG
rnacentral:lncRNA from 1 species